CGGAUGACAAGAAACUAACGAGGAUUCCUCUAGUAACGGCGAGUGAAGCAGGAAAAGCCCAGCACCGAAUCCCCUCUGCGCUGGCGUGGAGAGGGAAAUGUGGUGUUAGGGAGGCGAGCUGCGUGCGCGGUCUCGGUGCCCAGGUCCUCGUGAUCGUGGCCCUUCGCCCCGUCGAGGGUGUUAGGCCCGUCGUGGCACCGGACUCGCGUCGUCCGCGAGCCUCCCGGGAGUCGGGUUGCUUGAGAUCGCAGCCCAAAGUGGGUGGUAAACUCCAUCUAAGGCUAAAUACUGGACACGAGUCCGAUAGUAGACAAGUACCGUGAGGGAAAGUUGAAAACAACUUUGAAGAGAGAGUUCAAGAGUACGUGAAACCGCACAGAGUCAAACGGGUGGAGCCGCAAUAUUCCCGUCCCGGGCAUUCAACCCGUCGCUGCCGAGCGGCCGCCUGGAUUCGGACCAAGCGCGUCUAGCUUCUCNCCUCCAUNCCGGGGUGGGAAGUUGCGGCGCUGGGCCCGGCUUUUCCCAUGGAAGCUGCGAGGUGCGCGGGUGCACUUGCUCCCGGUUCGUCGGGGGCCACGACCGGUUCCUUUCGCAGCCAGUCUGGAGUCGGGUCGGUCGGGCGUCACUGCUGCUUGNGGUUUCGUCCCUUCGGCGGCGGAGGCGCUCCGGCCCUGAUGGAACUCGCNUGGGGACCGAGGACGCGAAUGGCCGACGCUGUCGGAACGCUGGGUACUCUCGCUAGCGUCCUGGGGAGCGACCCCCUCACGGGGGACGCUCUGUAAAACCCGGGGUGCUGCGGGCUCUGGCCCUGUUCCUCAGCGUAGUGUCUCGAGUGUCGGUGGCGGAUUAGGUCGGUACUCCACCCGACCCGUCUUGAAACACGGACCAAGGAGUCCAGCAUGUGCGCGAGUCAAUGGGACUUACGAAACCCUACGGCGAAAUGAAAGUGAAGGCCGCCUACGGCAGGCCUAGGCAGGAUCCCCGUCCCUAAUCGGACGGGGCGCACUGCCGGCCCGUCUCGGUCGCUUGCGACGACGAGGCGGAGCUAGAGCGCACACGCUGGGACCCGAAAGAUGGUGAACUAUGCCUGAGCAGGACGAAGUCAGGGGAAACUCUGAUGGAGGUCCGCAGCGAUUCUGACGUGCAAAUCGAUCGUCAAACUCGGGUAUAGGGGCGAAAGACUAAUCGAACCAUGUAGUAGC
rnacentral:rRNA from 1 species